rnacentral:rRNA from 1 species
UACGAAGGGUGCAAGCGUUAAUCGGAAUUACUGGGCGUAAAGCGUGCGUAGGCGGUUUGUUAAGUCUGUUGUGAAAUCCCCAGGCUUAACCUGGGAACUGCAUCCGAUACUGGAUGGCUUGAAUCCGGGAGAGGGAUGCGGAAUUCCAGGUGUAGCGGUGAAAUGACGUAGAUAUCUGGAGGAACACCGUGGCGAAGGCGGCAUCCUGGACCGGCAUUGACGCUGAGGAGCGAA